UUUCCGUAGGUGAACCAGCGGAGGGAUCAUUAUUGUAUAACCAAGGUGCGAGGGCUUCGGCUAAGCCGACAGGACGGGCACGUCCGAGUGCCCCGAGACACAGCCAUCUCACCCCUGUGUGCACCACGGCGUCGGUCCCCAUUUGGGAUGUUUGGAGGGCGGCUUGCGUUUUCACUCAAACUUUGGAUGCAGUGUAGAAUAUAGUUUUUGUUUUUGCGAGCACGCAAGCAAUACACAUUACAACAACGGAGCACUUGGCUCUCGUAUCGAUGAAUAGAG
rnacentral:misc_RNA from 1 species